AUCACCCAGUCUUCCAGUGGGAAUAAUCCUUUGGCCUACAAGAAAUAAUCGAGAGAAAAUUAAAUUGCGAAACGGAAGCGUGCAGAUACACCCAGAUUUGAUGGAGAAAUCUCGUUAAAUGCUUUACUACCCAUUACAGCCGUUGCAUCAAUUGAUAUCCAAACCCAGAACAAUUACAGGGCCAAAUAGCGGGCCCCAAACACAGAACUCACACUUGUUACGUCGUUUUUCGGAGCUGAGUUUCGCUUGUCGGACCGGUACUCGCAUUCUAAAACCCGACCGGAAAACCCUUAAAUCAUCGUAAACUGCACUGUAGGUCUCCGUAUUUCUCGCCAAGGUGCGGCGACUGGUUUGUUUCGCAUUUCCACGUCGACGAUCGAACGGCCGUUCGAGGAUUGAAAAGCAAAAGGAAGAAGUUCCUUCUUUUGGGGUUUGUUUUCCGGUUUUUUGGCUUGUUUUGUGAUAAAAGGGUUGAAAGUGAGGGAAAUAUAUGAAAGUUGUAUGCUGUGUGUUUUUUAAUUCAGUGAUGCCUGUUGUUGGUGCUUAAAGUGGCUCUGUUUGGUUGUUAGAGACGAGUUUAAGAAAUGUUAGGUUUUAGGAUAAGAGAAAGGGAUUAAUUUAUGUGUUUUUAGUUUUAUGAAUGAAUUUAGUUUGGUCUAGUUUUCAUUUAUUGUUGUGGAAGUUGUUUUAUCGGUUUUGGGAGAUGAAAUUCGGAUAGUAUUUUAUUUGGAAAGCAAGGCAAGUGUUUUUGGCAUGCAAAGAGAACACACUUGACUGCUUUGGACUUCUCUUUUUCUAGUGAUAAGUUGUUAGAUGUGAUAAACCCUAUGGGCGACUUGAAUUGGUGAACGUGUGUUUUCUUUAUUCCCGAGGAUUUUAAGUUUAGUUAGGCUUUUAGUUUUUAGGUUAAGUUCACUAGCUUGUAAAGAAAACAUUAGGAAGUUUUAGAGACCUGUUGAUUUUCACCUGUAAAGUGCAAGCUAAUUUUCUUUGGAAUUGUUCAAAAUAGCUUCAAAAACUGUCAAAUGCGGAAUGUGGAUUUCUAUGUACAGAGCUAUAUGAAGCUUUGUAAAGAUAGGUUUGUUAUGAACAUGUUAGCAUGGAUUCUGCAACUUUGAUUAUAUAGUUCCCUUUUCAAACGGGUUCAUGUAGUUCCCUUUUCAAAUGGGUUUAUGUUGACAGAGUAACCAAUUUAUUCAAAUUAGCUUCAGAAACUGUCAAUUGUAGAAUGUGGUUUUUUAUGCAUGAAGCUACAUUAAGCUUGCUAAAAAAUAAGUUUGUUAUGAACAUAUUAGCCUGUAUUUGUAACUUUGAAUAUCCCUUUUCUAGUGGGUUUAUGUUUAUAUUCUCGAAUGAGUAUAGAGUAACCAAUUUCGGAGCAAUUAAGUUUGGCAUAUUAAAACAGUUACCAUAUGGUAGUGAAAUUAUGACUAAGUUUGGGUCAUUUGAAGAAUUAAAUUUAAUAUAGGAAAGAUGAUAGUAAAUCUUCUGGUGUAAGAUCUUCAUGCUUUGCGAUAACAUUAUGGUAAUUAAAGAAAAAAGUGCUCUAUCUGGAUAGGUUGAGGGCAAAUUUGAUAUCAACAUUACAAAAUAAAUGAUUUUUCUAACAAAAUGGUGGUUAUUGGGAAAUUAUAGAGUUGUUACUUAAUUCUAGGGGCAAAGUAAAAUUAUGGUGAGCAAAAUGUGAUGGACAGUCUUACAGAUGGAAUCUAGAUAAAGUUUGUACUCUAUCUUGGCGAAGUAAAAAUCUUGGGCAGAAGUCAUCUUAGAUGUCUACUCCUUAAGUUUUGAAUGCGAUUUUGGAUGGUUUUUUGAGAACUAAUAUUAGAAGAAUUUUGACGGGUGCUAGGUUAAGUGGGGGGCUCAAGCAGUGCUUGUAAGGUGAGGCAGGUGCCCUCUGUGGGAUUGGAUUAGGCAAUAUGCACCUUGCCAAAUAGUCUCAAAGCCCUUUAAAAGAAGGGUAUGUGUGAGACAACAUCAACUUGUUGCUUUCCUAGUUCCUUGGUUGAGACUUUGGGUGUUGCUUGCACGAGUGGCUAAUUUAACGGCUACCUAUUUGCAGGUUGAAGCCAUAGUAAGAAUCCAACAUCUUGGGUUUUUAAUGAGGUUUAUUUAAUUCUAAAAAUGAAUCCUGUCUAGUCUAUGCAGUGCUCUGGAAGAAGGGGCUGUCUGAGUUUGUUAAUCUCACUCGACUUUUACGGCUUGUAAAGUUGGACUUUGUUCUCCAUUUUUUUUAAGAAAAAUUAAGGACAAGAAACGGAUAAUAAUUUUUAUGAAAGUUAAUCUUUGAGUUACUGAUAUGCUACAUGCAUAAAGUGGUCUAGCAAUUAGAUAAAUUAUUUUUAGAAUUUCUAGUAUAUAUAUAUAUAUAUAUAUUAAUUAUUUUUCUAAAUGAAGUCCUCUUUGAGGUUGAGUGUGUUGUGGGUUGGGAACUAUUUUUCUUGAUGCCUUCUUGUCCUUCAGUUAAUUGAAAUGAAUUAUUGUUUUCUUCCCCUUGGCCCUUGUUAACAAACAAAAAUUUCAAUAAGAAAAUAGAGCUUUAUAAUAGGAAGUGAACUAGAGAGAAACCUUUACAAAUGACCUAGGAACAUGCUAUACUAAAAGACUGGUUUUCUUGAAACUGAAGUGAAAUGGCUGUUCCCUUCCAAUUAUGUGGAUGAAAAACUAGGGAUGUCAAUAAGAUCUUAUGAAAUUAAUGCCCAUGGCGAUUGAUUUUGUUUUUUUAUUUCUUAUUUCAACAAGAAACUUAAGAAAGCUUAUAUAACUUUGUAAAUUUGUCAUGAUUUAUGAUGUAGUGGAAUAGAGAAGUCAAUUAAGUCUCAACAAUUUGGCUAGAAUAGGAUGAUUGUAGUUGGAAAAAAAAAACGUAAAAAGGUCUGAACACAUUGUCCAAUAAUAACAACAAAAAUCUGCCUUGAUUGAAUAAGGCAACCUUAUUUAUACUGGCUCUGAUACCACUUAGUUGAAUAGAGAAGUCCAUUAAGUCUUGGCAACUUGGCUAGAAUAGGAUGAUUGUGGUUGGAACAAUAAAAUUUAAUUAGGUCUGAACGAAAUCCUUUAAUAAAUUGUCCAAUAAUAACAACAAAAUCUGCCUUUUUUGUAUUAGGGAGCCCUAUUUAUACUAGUUAGGAGAAAUCCCAACCUCAACCAAAAAGCAAAUAAAACAAUCCUAAGUAAAUUAAAAGAGCAGAGAAUCCUAAAGCAUGUAAAAGAGCCCUACAAUAAAUAAACUAUAAAGCCAAAAUGAAAAAACAAAAUCCUAUUCUGAUUUGGAUGUACUGCAUCAAUUUAUGAAUGCAAAACUGCAUCUUUUAGUUAUUGUCAUGAAAGGUAUUGUAAGAGGUGCUUACAGAGUAUAUUUUCAAGAUACUUCUAUUGUUCUGUGGGAAAGUUCAGUCUUUCUUUUUGGCAGAGUCUUUUCGGACAAUAAUUCUUCUAAAUAUGUUAAACAUUUAUGCUUAGUAUGUGUUGGAAUCCAAGACCAAAGGUUUUUAUGGGACUGAAAAACCUGCAUAUUGCAAAUUUAGACAAUCCACUCACCAUGAAGGAACCACCAGCACAAAGGAUAAAAUUCACUAACUUAGGACAAAGUCGCAAGCUGUUAUUUGCCACUCUUAAUGAGGUAAACUGUAGCUCACAGGAGAACAGAGUUUCCCUUUGUUGUCCCAGGGAAGAUAGUCUAGUUGCCACAGAACAGUUGGAUGGUAUGCUGGAAUUCCAGAGGGAGUUUAAUAACUUCAUGACUCUGUUUCCACCUCCUAUUCAUUUAUCAGUAUAUGGCUCAGACUCUCACAGAUCGGUAAACAAGGCUGCUACCAGAGAAGAAAAUCAUCUUAAAGUUAUACAAAAUGUGGCUGAAAGCUGAUUCAGGGAUGUUACAAGAGCUUCAUCUGCCUUCCCAGCAAGUGAUGCCAGGUUGUGUGCAGUCCCAAAAUUACCGUCCCUGAGAAAGCACAAGCUCUUCUCCGACUCAGCUAAGCCCCCAAAACCAAAACACAAAAAGACCUCAAUAGAGCAUAGCAAUAUACGACAGUUUCUUCUUGAGCCAGGAUUCCAUCCUAUGCCACCAACAGCACCCAUCACCAGAAAAGAUCCCAAUUGAAGGUUUGAUUUGACCCCGGCAAUCAUUCAAGAGAGCUGGUCUGAUGAUGGAGCGGAUAGUAAUAUCUUUUCCUGCAUGGACAAGGAGUUUUUCCAGGAAAAGUUUUUGGAAGUGGUGUAUCAUGGCUAUUUCCCUGACCUUUCGGGUAUUGAUGACUGUUCAACACUGCCAGAGUACACUGACAUUGGCUAGCUAAUGCAAAAACCUGAACUCUGCUUGAUGUUCUGGGUUAAUACUAACGGUUGUUGACCGGGGAUGGAAGAUUCUCGCAGCAACUGAGUUGGGUUGAUGAAUCGCCUGACUCGGAGCUUACAAUAGCGCACUCGGGGUAGAUACGGAUGCCAAUUAAGACUUUUUGGGAAAGCACAUUAUUUUUGGCAGGUUUGCCUUUUAGCACCAAGCUGAGAGUUCAAUGUUUAUUGUCAGGAAGCUGUGAAGGUGGAUUAGCUUAGGAUUAGAAUCUCAGGUUAGCGAAUACAAAUUGGUCACACAAAAUUUUGUAUUGAAUUCAUUAUUGGGAACUUUGUGCAAAUUUUUUUCAUUCAUUGGGCUGUCACUGAAUAGUGAUUUUGGCACAUUUCCCUCAAUAGAAAGGAGGUAGUUUUGGUAAAA